ACGUAGGGUGCAAGCGUUGUCCGGAAUUAUUGGGCGUAAAGGGCUCGUAGGCGGUCUGUCGCGUCGGAUGUGAAAAUCCAGGGCUCAACCCUGGACCUGCAUUCGAUACGGGCAGACUAGAGUUCGGCAGGGGAGACUGGAAUUCCUGGUGUAGCGGUGAAAUGCGCAGAUAUCAGGAGGAACACCGGUGGCGAAGGCGGGUCUCUGGGCCGAUACUGACGCUGAGGAGCGAAAGCGUGGGGAGCGAACAGGA
rnacentral:rRNA from 1 species